GGUCCUUCAAUAAAAUGUAGGAGUUUUGACGCUCCUUUGGGCUUUGGAGUGGAAGGAAAAAAAGAAAAGAAAGGAACAAAGGAGCCUCUUUUCACAAGGCAAGGCGCAGUCCCAACAAAAAGGGUUGAGCUUGGAAUAAAGAGUUUAGGUCCAACAUGUGAAGGGAAAGGUCGAUCGAAAGUUGGUGGCAGGUUUUUUCUAUCUCAGAAUCCUUCUCAGUAUUUGAGUUCUCUGUUGUCUUUUGGACAAAGCUUCAAGGUUUGUGAAGGAAAAAUUCAACAAGUGAACUACAUAUUAAAGCUAAGCAAGUCAAAAUAGUACACAAGCUCCAAUCAAUAUAUUUACUUGUCCAAACAGAUGGCAUUGCAUGUGCUAAUGCAGAGGGGGGCUUGGGUCAAGCGGCUGACAUAAGCAGAUACGGAUAUUAGAUGUUUUGUGGGGUUUAGAUGUUGAAUGGUUCCAAACUCUCUUAUGGAUCUUACACUUGUUUCUGUUUCUAAACAUCAGCCUAUGUGAAAUAUUUUACAAAUGAUGUCACAUGAUGUCAUAGCAAAAAAUUCAAGAAGGAAUUGACCACACCAUGGAAUUCAUAUAUUCAUUAUUUAGUAAAUGGUUGGGACAUUACAUAAACCUUAAUCCAAACUUGAAAAAUCUCAAAAGAAAGUUAAAGGAUUUGAGCACUAAAGUCGAUGAUGUAAAAACAAAACUGAGAGGCGCAGAGCAUCAUCCAGCCAAAAGACCAAGGAAAGUGGCUCAACAUUGGUGUAAAAAUGCGCAAGAGAUGAUAGAAUCCAUGCAAAGACUUCAGGAAGAAGUAGAUGGACUUGGACAAUGGAUGAUUGUCGCACGCGCACUGUUGGGAAAACACGUCGAGGAGAAAAUUCAAGAGGUGGUAGAAUUGCAAGAACAACAUAAUUUUCCUCGUGGUGUGCUGAUUGAUGCUCCUCCAACUUCUGAACAGUUCAUACCAACAUCAAGAUUUUUUUGUGGUAGUGAAACCAUAACUGCAAGGAACAAAGGGGAAAUACUUGAUGGAUGAUGAGCUCUCCAAUGGCAACCACCAACGUUGGCAAUCACCUACAUCAGUAACUAAUCAGUAUCAACAACCACCACCUUCGAACACCUCCAAAGUCGCCACCACUGCUGUGUGCCCAUGCCUGACUUCACCAGAAAGUCAUCUGUGUGUGUGUGUGUAAUUUUAGAUCUGGAUAUUAUGUUGAAUUCUUCUUGUUGAUGGUUUACGAUGGUGGUAGACAGGGGAUGAUGGUGGCAUGUAUGGAUGUGAGAGGGGAAAAAGGGUGGUGGUGGAAGGGUGGGGAGCGAUGAAGGGGAAAGGGAGGGGGAGGAUGGUGGUAGAGGGGUGGGGAAGAGUGAUGAGGGUGGCAGAUAUGGGUUUGGGAAAGGGAGGAAGGCAUUAGAGAGGUUUGGGGUGGAGGGGUGAGAGAGACUGUUGGGGUGGCAUUCACAUAUGUGCAAAAACACAUUUUAUAAUCGUGUUCAUCAUAUGUGUACAAGUGUAUACAAUUCUUUUUAUAACUUUCAUAUGAAUUUUACCUUGGUUCCUCACAUUCUAAUUGUAAUAAUUAAGUCCUCAAACUGCAACUCUUGUUUCAAUGUGAUUAUCUCAUCACUCUUCAUUAAAAAUUUGAAACAUAAAUGACCAAAGUGGAAUUUGAGUUCAAGUUGAAAGGUGAAAAAUAUAAUUUAUGCUAUAAUUUCUAUCUUCCAAAAAAUGUGCAGUGUUUUCUAUACAAAAUUUUGACACUGAGUGAUGGGUGGACCACAUUGAAACAUGAGGUCAAGUUUGACAACUUAAUUGUUGUAAUUGGUAGUAUACCAAAGUUAAAUUUUGGUGAUAGUUGGAGGUUGAAAGAGUAAUUUACCCAUUCCUUGGUACAUCGAGGGCCAUAGUGUAGGGAUGAGGAGUAUUUCUUUGACAAGACUUGAACCCUUAAUCUCUUAGUGAGGUGUAAGGGUUUUAGUGAUGGCAAACAUGGAAAGAAGAAAUCCGGAAUUCCACAUAAAGUACGUUUAAGUUUUCAAAGAUUGAAGUUUUGGAAUAUUUUGAGUCUCUAUAUAUAUUUAUUUUAAUUUAUUGCGUUGCUAGACAAAUUUAUGUCAUUAUAAUAGGUUUUAGUACUAAGGGUAUUAUGGUAAUUUUAAUAAUUGUUGGACAUGCGUUUUAGGAGUUGCCCAUGGGUUUUAUUUUGGGCCAAGUUAUUAGAUGGGUUCUACGUUACAUGGACUCGAG